UAACAUUUGAGUCCAUGGACUGGAAGAGGAACACCCACCAUCAGGAAGGCCAACCCACAAUAUGGGUGGGCAGCAUUCAAUAGGCUGCUAGCUUGGCUAGACAAAGCAGGCAGAAGAAGGUGAAAUGAGCUGACUUGCUGAGUCUCCCGGCUUUCAUCUUUCUCUGGUGGCAGAGGCUUCCUGCCCUAGAAAAUCAGACUCCAAGUUCUUCAGAUUUUUGACUCUUGGACUUACAUCAGUGAUUUGCCAGGGGCUCUCAGGCCUUCGGCCACAGACUGAAGGCUGCACUGUUGGUUUUCUAACUUUUGAGGUUGUGGGACUGAGCUACUACUACUGGCUUCCUUGCUCCUCAACUUACAGAUGGCCAAUUGUGGGACUUCACCUCAUGAUCAUGUUCCCUUCACCAGCAAGGAGAAUGUUCAAUGCUAAAGACUUAGAGGCUCCUCUUUGACUGAAGAAAUUUACCUCAGCUAAAUAGGAGCAAACUUGUCUGCUCUAUUCCAACAUUCCCACCUCUACUGCACAGAACAGUCAUUCCAGAAUGACAUGAGGGCACAUAAGCCUAGAGCAUUUGCUUCAAGGUGCAGAACAACUCUAUGGUUUAGUCCAUGUUCUAGUACUUCUCAUAGGACCAGGCUGAAGUUAGUUUUCAGCAAAACUGCAUUCUUGCUUGGCUUUUUCCCUUUUCUAGCCUGCUAUGCCCAUGUCUUCUCCUGAGAGUCCUCCCUUGAUAUAUCACUUUAACAGAAUCCUCAACUCAGCCUCUCCUUCUAGAGAAUCAGGCCUAUGAAAAAGUCCCAAAAGUUUAGAAUCAGAAAAUUGGAAGAUUAUGGAAUGCUAAAUAUAGUCAAAAUUUAAAACAAAGGCAUGGAAGAUGACAGUUUGAAAAAAUACAAUUCGAGAGAAGACUCAGGACUUGUCUUUCAGCCUUGAUAGAUUAACUGGUAUCAAACUUAUCUUCAUACUCCAGGCAUUUGACAAUAGACAAGAGAGAUCGGUGAUUCUCCAGAGUAAAACACGAAUUAUGCCUUGUGUUCCUAUUGGCUUUCUCCCUGGGGAACUCUGACAGUAUAGCACGGAGGUAGUGCCCAAAAGUCUGAAGCAUCUGAGGUGACUGCAGAGUGGGGUACAUGAGGAAGGGCUGCUGAGCGAAAGAAGGCAUUUGAGACCUGUGAGGAGUCUCUCAGGUGUUUGGUCCAGGGCUGGCCUGUACACUCAGAGAACAAACCUCAGCAAGCUCUAACAAGCUGCAAGUAGCUCAGAUAUACAAGAGGUUUGUUUAAGGUUAAAAGAUGUGGAGAGAAUUGCUGAGUAUCUCAGGCAUCCAGCUGAGAAACCAUACAAAUUACACCUUAAGAGUAAUGACUAUGCACCAGAAUUAGGGUCAUGAUCUAGGGCUAAGGAUGAACCAAAAUACACUCCUCCUAACAAAGCAUAUAGCCAAGUCUUUGACAAAAUCAAGAGAAUCCCCAAAUAAUUAAGCUGCCUGCCAUAACUAAACAAAAUAACCUUUAAAGGAAGACAACAUAACCAAGCCUCUAUAAAAUGUACAAUUUCCAGCAUACAAGUAAAAAGUAUUAGACAUGAAAAAAGAAUGUGACAAGUAAUCUAUAGAAAGAACAGUCAGUAAAAACCAACAACAAAAUUAUUCAGAUGAUAAAAUUAGCACAAGGACUUUAAAACAGCCAUUACAAACAUGUAAGAGAUAUGGUGGAAAAUAUAGACAUAAUGUGCGAAAAGCUGAGGAUUCUUAGCAGAGAAAUAGAAAAAACAAGAUACCACAUGGAAAUUAUAGAACUGAAAACUACCUUAUCAUAAUUUAGAAAAAUGACUACAUUAUAUAAAUAGUAAAUUGGACAUGCCAGAAGUAAAGGUCAGUGAACUUGAAGAUAGAUUAAUAGAAAUUACCCAAGCUGAAGAACAAAGAGAAGACUGAAAGAAAAAUGGACUGUUGUUUGGUUUCCUGUGAGACUAUACCAAGCAAUCUAAAUCCAGAAAUAAAGAAAAGAUAGAAUAAGUCAGAAAAAAUUGAAAAAUAAUGGUGAAAAUUUUCCACAUUUGAUUAAAAACAUUAACCUUCAGAAUUAAGAGAUUUAGAAAAAAUACAUGCCAGGUAAAAACAAACGCACUGAAAACCAAAUAUAAGAAGACAAGUUUAAGAGCAGCCAUAGGAGGAAAAUAAGACAAAUUAUAUAUAGUAGUAUUAUAAAAACAAAUGAUGGCUGAUUUCUCAUCAGAAAGAAAAAAUGGAUGCUAUAUUUAAAGUACUAAAAGUGAAAAAAAAGGCUUAGUCCAAAAUUCUAUAUCCAGUAAAAAUUACCUUAAGGAAAAUGCUUGAAAUUUUCAGCUAAGUUGAAAAGAGAGUUUGUUGGGAGAACAACUAUACAACAUGAUAUGCUAAAUGAAGUUAAGUUGUAGAGAAAUAAUACUUGGUAGAAAUUCAGAUCUACUGGUAAAAUAAAUAGCAGAGGUUAUAAAUACGUUAGCAAACUAACAAAACUUUUAUCCCUGUUCUUAAAUUAUGCAAGUAGUAAUUGACUGAAUGAAGUAAAAAAGAGCUGUAUUAUACCAUAUUGUUUCUAUAGAGUGAAAUGUUCACUUCCCAUCAUGUCUUGCUUCAUAUGUUGAAGCUCUACCCCCCAAAGUGAUGGUGUUUAUAGAUGGAGAGGUAAUUAGGAUUAGGUAAGGUAGAAUCGGAGGCCUUAUAACAAGAGAAAGAGACAUCAAAUAGCUUGUUCCCUCUCUCUCCAUUAUGUGAGGAGACAGUGAGAAGACAGCCAUCUACAAGCCAGAAAGAGCCCUUAACAGAACCUAGACAUGAUGGAACUAUGAUCUUGAACUUCCCGGACUUCAGGACUUUGAGAAUAGAUUUCUGUUGUUUAAGCAACCAAGUCUAUGCUAUUUUGUUAUUGUAGCCUGAGCAGAUUAGUACAGUUGUAUAUACAGGUUGAGUAUCCCUUAUCCAAAAUGCUUCAAAUUUCUGAUUCUGUCAGAUUUUAGAACAUUUGCAAAUACAUAAUAAGGUCUUGAAAACAGGGCCAAAAUCUAAGCACAAAAUUCAUCUGGGUUUCAUAUAUACCUUACACACCUAGCCUACAGGCAAUUUUAUGUAAUAUUUUGAAUGAUUUUUUUCAUGAAAUAAAGUUUGUGUUAAAGUACUGAUGUGUGGAAUUUUCCAUUUAUGAUGUUAUGUCAGCUCUCAAAAAGUUUUAGCUUUUGAAGCAUUUUGAAUUGCAGAUUUUCAGAUUGGGGUUGCUCAACCUGUAUUAUACUACAUGAUUUAUGACAUAUGUAUGGGUAAAUUGUGUGAUAGUAAUAUCAAAAAAUAUGGGAACUUAAUGGAGAUAAUAGUUUAAGGUUUUUAUAUCUUACAUGGAAUAAUAUGUGAGAAUUAAAUUAUGAUAAGUAAUUACUAGGUCUGCCAUUAUAAAAAUCCAAUAGUGAAAAUAUAAUAAAAAAUAUUCAAAAAGCAACAACAAAGCAAAAAGCAAUGAGCAAGAAACAGAUGGGACAAAUGGAAAAUAGUGAAUGGUAGAUUAAAACAUAAUCAUGUCAAUACUUGCAUGAAAUAUAUAUAUAUACAUAUAUAAAUUAAUACUAAAAAUAAAAGAAUGUAAGAAGCAUUUCAAUUCACAGGAAUAUAAA
rnacentral:lncRNA from 10 species